rnacentral:rRNA from 1 species
CCCCUAGAUGUUCUGGGCCGCACGCGCGCUACACUGAACAGUUCAACAAGUCUUAACCUUGGCCGAUAGGUCUGGGUAAUCUUUGAACGCUGUUCGUGAUUGGGAUAGACCUUUGCAAUUAUGGGUCUUCAACGAGGAAUUCCUAGUAAACGCAAGUCAUCAGCUUGCAUUGAUUACGUCCCUGCCCUUUGUACACACCGCCCGUCGCACCUACCGAUUGAAUGGUCCGGUGAAAUCUCGGUACGGCGGCUUGGUCGCUUGCGUCCGACUGCUGAAACUUGAUUAAACCAUAUCAUUUAGAGGAAGGUGAAGUCGUAACA